rnacentral:rRNA from 1 species
UACGGUGGGUGCAAGCGAUGUUCGGAAUCAUUGGGCGUAAAGGGCGCGUAGGCGGGUGGGGAAGUCAAUUGUGAAAGCCCCAGGCUCAACCUUGGAACUGCAGUUGAUACUGCACGCCUUUGGUGCUUGAGAGGGUGGUGGAAUUCCUGGUGUAGAGGUGAAAUUAGUAGAUAUCAGGAGGAACAACGGAGGCGAAGGCGGCCACCUGGCGAGACACUGACGCUGAGGCGCGAAAGCAUGGGGAGCAAUCAGU